UUAAGCGACUAAGCGUACACGGUGGAUGCCCUGGCAGUCAGAGGCGAUGAAGGACGUGCUAAUCUGCGAAAAGCGUCGGUAAGGUGAUAUGAACCGUUAUAACCGGCGAUGUCCGAAUGGGGAAACCCAGUGUGAUUCGUCACACUAUCGUUAACUGAAUACAUAGGUUAACGAGGCGAACCGGGGGAACUGAAACAUCUAAGUACCCCGAGGAAAAGAAAUCAACCGAGAUUCCCCCAGUAGCGGCGAGCGAACGGGGAGCAGCCCAGAGUCUGAAUCAGCUUGUGUGUUAGUGGAACGGUCUGGAAAGUCCGACGGUACAGGGUGAUAGUCCCGUACACCAAAAUGCACAGGCUGUGAACUCGAAGAGUAGGGCGGGACACGUGGUAUCCUGUCUGAAUAUGGGGGGACCAUCCUCCAAGGCUAAAUACUCCUGACUGACCGAUAGUGAACCAGUACCGUGAGGGAAAGGCGAAAAGAACCCCGGCGAGGGGAGUGAAAAAGAACCUGAAACCGUGUACGUACAAGCAGUGGGAGCACCUUCGGGUGUGACUGCGUACCUUUUGUAUAAUGGGUCAGCGACUUAUAUUCUGUAGCAAGGUUAACCGUAUAGGGGAGCCGCAGGGAAACCGAGUCUUAACUGGGCGUUAAGUUGCAGGGUAUAGACCCGAAACCCGGUGAUCUAGCCAUGGGCAGGUUGAAGGUUGGGUAACACUAACUGGAGGACCGAACCGACUAAUGUUGAAAAAUUAGCGGAUGACUUGUGGCUGGGGGUGAAAGGCCAAUCAAACCGGGAGAUAGCUGGUUCUCCCCGAAAGCUAUUUAGGUAGCGCCUCGUGAAUUCAUCUUCGGGGGUAGAGCACUGUUUCGGCUAGGGGGUCAUCCCGACUUACCAACCCGAUGCAAACUACGAAUACCGAAGAAUGUUAUCACGGGAGACACACGGCGGGUGCUAACGUCCGUCGUGAAGAGGGAAACAACCCAGACCGCCAGCUAAGGUCCCAAAGUCAUGGUUAAGUGGGAAACGAUGUGGGAAGGCACAGACAGCCAGGAUGUUGGCUUAGAAGCAGCCAUCAUUUAAAGAAAGCGUAAUAGCUCACUGGUCGAGUCGGCCUGCGCGGAAGAUGUAACGGGGCUAAACCAUGCACCGAAGCUGCGGCAGCGACACUAUGUGUUGUUGGGUAGGGGAGCGUUCUGUAAGCCUGCGAAGGUGACCUGUGAGGGUUGCUGGAGGUAUCAGAAGUGCGAAUGCUGACAUAAGUAACGAUAAAGCGGGUGAAAAGCCCGCUCGCCGGAAGACCAAGGGUUCCUGUCCAACGUUAAUCGGGGCAGGGUGAGUCGACCCCUAAGGCGAGGCCGAAAGGCGUAGUCGAUGGGAAACAGGUUAAUAUUCCUGUACUUGGUGUUACUGCGAAGGGGGGACGGAGAAGGCUAUGUUAGCCGGGCGACGGUUGUCCCGGUUUAAGCAUGUAGGCUGGUUGUCCAGGCAAAUCCGGAUAAUCAAGGCUGAGGUGUGAUGACGAGGCACUACGGUGCUGAAGUAACAAAUGCCCUGCUUCCAGGAAAAGCCUCUAAGCAUCAGGUAACAUCAAAUCGUACCCCAAACCGACACAGGUGGUCAGGUAGAGAAUACCAAGGCGCUUGAGAGAACUCGGGUGAAGGAACUAGGCAAAAUGGUGCCGUAACUUCGGGAGAAGGCACGCUGGUGUGUAGGUGAAGUCCCUGCGGAUGGAGCUGAGACCAGUCGAAGAUACCAGCUGGCUGCAACUGUUUAUUAAAAACACAGCACUGUGCAAACACGAAAGUGGACGUAUACGGUGUGACGCCUGCCCGGUGCCGGAAGGUUAAUUGAUGGGGUUAUCCGUAAGGAGAAGCUCUUGAUCGAAGCCCCGGUAAACGGCGGCCGUAACUAUAACGGUCCUAAGGUAGCGAAAUUCCUUGUCGGGUAAGUUCCGACCUGCACGAAUGGCGUAAUGAUGGCCAGGCUGUCUCCACCCGAGACUCAGUGAAAUUGAACUCGCUGUGAAGAUGCAGUGUACCCGCGGCAAGACGGAAAGACCCCGUGAACCUUUACUAUAGCUUGACACUGAACAUUGAGCCUUGAUGUGUAGGAUAGGUGGGAGGCUUUGAAGCGUGGACGCCAGUCUGCGUGGAGCCAACCUUGAAAUACCACCCUUUAAUGUUUGAUGUUCUAACGUUGGCCCCUUACCGGGGUUGCGGACAGUGUCUGGUGGGUAGUUUGACUGGGGCGGUCUCCUCCCAAAGCGUAACGGAGGAGCACGAAGGUUAGCUAAUCCUGGUCGGACAUCAGGAGGUUAGUGCAAUGGCAUAAGCUAGCUUGACUGCGAGCGUGACGGCGCGAGCAGGUGCGAAAGCAGGUCAUAGUGAUCCGGUGGUUCUGAAUGGAAGGGCCAUCGCUCAACGGAUAAAAGGUACUCCGGGGAUAACAGGCUGAUACCGCCCAAGAGUUCAUAUCGACGGCGGUGUUUGGCACCUCGAUGUCGGCUCAUCACAUCCUGGGGCUGAAGUAGGUCCCAAGGGUAUGGCUGUUCGCCAUUUAAAGUGGUACGCGAGCUGGGUUUAGAACGUCGUGAGACAGUUCGGUCCCUAUCUGCCGUGGGCGCUGGAGAAUUGAGGGGGGCUGCUCCUAGUACGAGAGGACCGGAGUGGACGCAUCACUGGUGUUCGGGUUGUCAUGCCAAUGGCACUGCCCGGUAGCUAAAUGCGGAAGAGAUAAGUGCUGAAAGCAUCUAAGCACGAAACUUGCCCCGAGAUGAGUUCUCCCUGAGACUUUAAGUCUCCUGAAGGAACGUUAAAGACGAUGACGUUGAUAGGCCGGGUGUGUAAGCGCAGCGAUGCGUUGAGCUAACCGGUACUAAUGAACCGUGAGGCUUAACCUU
rnacentral:rRNA from 1 species